rnacentral:tRNA from 1 species
AGGGGAGUAUUUUCAAUGGUAGAAUAGUGGUCUCCAAAACCAAAGGUUAAGGGUUCGAGUCCCUUCUUCCCUG